rnacentral:ribozyme from 1 species
UGCCCAGCAACUCCUAUCUCUACCUCCAUGUGGUACCGGUCAGACUGCGAGCAACCAUAGGGAAGA